rnacentral:rRNA from 1 species
UAGGGAAUCUUCCGCAAUGGGCGAAAGCCUGACGGAGCAACGCCGCGUGAGUGAUGAAGGUCUUCGGAUCGUAAAACUCUGUUAUUAGGGAAGGACAAAUGUGUAAGUAACUAUGCACGUCUUGACGGUACCUAAUCAGAAAGCCACGGCUAACUACGUGCCAGCAGCCGCGGUAAUACGUAGGUGGCAAGCGUUAUCCGGAAUUAUUGGGCGUAAAGCGCGCGUAGGCGGUUUUUUAAGUCUGAUGUGAAAGCCCACGGCUCAACCGUGGAGGGUCAUUGGAAACUGGAAAACUUGAGUGCAGAAGAGGAAAGUGGAAUUCCAUGUGUAGCGGUGAAAUGCGCAGAGAUAUGGAGGAACACCAGUGGCGAAGGCGACUUUCUGGUCUGUAACUGACGCUGAUGUGCGAAAGCGCGGGGAUCAAACAGG